rnacentral:rRNA from 1 species
AGACCCGAAACCCGGUGAUCUAGCCAUGGGCAGGUUGAAGGUUGGGUAACACUAACUGGAGGACCGAACCGACUAAUGUUGAAAAAUUAGCGGAUGACCUGUGGCUGGGGGUGAAAGGCCAAUCAAACCGGGAGAUAGCUGGUUCUCCCCGAAAGCUAUUUAGGUAGCGCCUCGUGAAUUCAUCUCCGGGGGUAGAGCACUGUUUCGGCCAGGGGGCCAUCCCGGCUUACCAAUCCGAUGCAAACUGCGAAUACCGGAGAAUGUUAUCACGGGAGACACACGGCGGGUGCUAACGUCCGUCGUGAAGAGGGAAACAACCCAGACCGCCAGCUAAGGUCCCAAAGUCAUGGUUAAGUGGGAAACGAUGUGGGAAGGCCCAGACAGCCAGGAUGUUGGCUUAGAAGCAGCCAUCAUUUAAAGAAAGCGUAAUAGCUCACUGGUCGAGUCGGCCUGCGCGGAAGAUGUAACGGGGCUAAACCAUGCACCGAAGCUGCGGCAGCGAACGUAUCACCCAAGACAACUUUGCACAGUUGACGAUUGACGGAGCGAAGCGACGUCAAAGCGUUUUACAACGUCGAGUUGGCUUAGGGAUACGUUCGUUGGGUAGGGGAGCGUUCUGUAAGCCGUUGAAGGUGGCCUGUGAGGGUUGCUGGAGGUAUCAGAAGUGCGAAUGCUGACAUAAGUAACGAUAAAGCGGGUGAAAAGCCCGCUCGCCGGAAGACCAAGGGUUCCUGUCCAACGUUAAUCGGGGCAGGGUGAGUCGACCCCUAAGGCGAGGCCGAAAGGCGUAGUCGAUGGGAAACGGGUUAAUAUUCCCGUACUUGGUGUUACUGCGAAGGGGGGACGGAGAAGGCUAUGUUGGCCGGGCGACGGUUGUCCCGGUUUAAGCGUGUAGGUGUGUGUUCCAGGUAAAUCCGGUUCACUUUAACACUGAGGCGUGACGACGAGGCACUACGGUGCUGAAGCAACAAAUGCCCUGCUUCCAGGAAAAGCCUCUAAGCCUCAGGUAACAUCAAAUCGUACCCCAAACCGACACAGGUGGUCAGGUAGAGAAUACCAAGGCGCUUGAGAGAACUCGGGUGAAGGAACUAGGCAAAAUGGUGCCGUAA